AGUUUUGGUAGACGAGUGAAUGGAAAAUUAAAUCGGUGAUUCGAGGUAAAAAUAAACUUCCCGCCGUCACUGUUUCAUCCGAGAUUUAUAGCUUUCUUAUUAAAAGUUCACACUCAUUUUAAGUAAAUUGAUUAAGGCGAAUCCAUGCCGACGGUGAAAAUCAAUUUUCGACUAUGGGUCGCUAUAGAAUUCCAGCGCUCCAGUCAGUCCACGCUGCACGAUAUUAUGUUCCGAACGUGUUAA